GGUUCCCUGACCUUGUGCCCUAGUGGCUGCUUGUGGUGUUGCAACAUUUGUUUUGAUUGUCUUCCUAAUAGGAAAUUGGUGUCACCUGGAAGGGGUCCUACUUAAGGGGCCCUCUGGCUGAUGCUCUCUCUCUCUCUCUCUCCAUUCAGAGGACAACCUGCAGUCUGGCUACACUGUGCAUUUUUGUUCUUUUGUAGUGUUCUUUAAUUAAAGAUAUUUUGGAAUUGCGACUGUUUUUGAGUGAUCUCGUUUAUGUUGCGACUGGCCAGGGGCUGAUCGUAACAUAAUUGGGGGCUCGUCCGGGAUCUGCUGAUCCGAUGCCGGGGUCAUUGGACGUGUUGGGAUGGAGAUACGGGUCGGAAAUUGGUGUCACCUGGAAGGGGUCCUACUUAAGGGGCCCUCUGGCUGAUGCUCUCUCUCUCUCUCUCCAUUCAGAGGACAACCUGCAGUCUGGCUACACUGCACAUUUUUGUUCUUUUGUAGUGUUCUUUAAUUAAAGAUAUUUUUGAAUUGCGA